rnacentral:rRNA from 1 species
AGAGUUUGAUCCUGGCUCAGGACGAACGCUGGCGGCGUGCCUAAUACAUGCAAGUCGAACGAACCGACGAAAAGCUUGCUUUUCUGACGUGAGUGGCGGACGGGUGAGUAACACGUGGGCAACCUGCCUAUCAGUUGGGGAUAACUCCGGGAAACCGGGGCUAAUACCGAAUAAUAACGGGCGUCGCAUGACGCUAGUUUGAAAGAUGGUUUCGGCUAUCGCUGAUAGAUGGGCCCGCGGUGCAUUAGCUAGUUGGUGGGGUAAUGGCUCACCAAGGCAACGAUGCAUAGCCGACCUGAGAGGGUGAUCGGCCACACUGGGACUGAGACACGGCCCAGACUCCUACGGGAGGCAGCAGUAGGGAAUCUUCCGCAAUGGACGAAAGUCUGACGGAGCAACGCCGCGUGUGUGAAGAAGGUUUUCGGAUCGUAAAGCACUGUUGUUAGAGAAGAACAAGGAUAAGAGUAACUGCUUGUCCCUUGACGGUAUCUAACCAGAAAGCCACGGCUAACUACGUGCCAGCAGCCGGGUAAUACGUAGUGGCAAGCGUGUCCGGAUUUAUUGGGCCGUAAAGCGAGCGCAGGCGGUUUCUUAAGUCUGAUGUGAAAGCCCCCGGCUUAACCGGGGAGGGUCAUUGGAAACUGAGAGACUUGAAUGCAGGAGAGGUAAGUGGAAUUCCACGUGUAGCGGUGAAAUGCGUAGAUAUGUGGAGGAACACCAGUGGCGAAGGCGGCUUACUGGCCUGUAAUUGACGCUGAGGCUCGAAAGCGUGGGGAGCAAACAGGAUUAGAUACCCUGGUAGUCCACGCCGUAAACGAUGAGUGCUAAGUGUUAGGGGGUUUCCGCCCCUUAGUGCUGCAGCUAACGCAUUAAGCACUCCGCCUGGGGAGUACGACCGCAAGGUUGAAACUCAAAGGAAUUGACGGGGGCCCGCACAAGUGGUGGAGCAUGUGGUUUAAUUCGAAGCAACGCGAAGAACCUUACCAGGUCUUGACAUCCUUUGACCACUCUGGAGACAGAGCUUUCCCUUCGGGGACAAAGUGACAGGUGGUGCAUGGUUGUCGUCAGCUCGUGUCGUGAGAUGUUGGGUUAAGUCCCGCAACGAGCGCAACCCUUGAUUUUAGUUGCCAGCAUUUAGUUGGGCACUCUAAAGUGACUGCCGGUGCAAGCCGGAGGAAGGUGGGGAUGACGUCAAAUCAUCAUGCCCCUUAUGACCUGGGCUACACACGUGCUACAAUGGAUAAUACAAAGGGUUGCCAAACCGCGAGGUCGAGCUAAUCCCAUAAAAUUAUUCUCAGUUCGGAUUGUAGGCUGCAACUCGCCUACAUGAAGCCGGAAUCACUAGUAAUCGUGGAUCAGCAUGCCACGGUGAAUACGUUCCCGGGCCUUGUACACACCGCCCGUCACACCACGAGAGUUUGUAACACCCGAAGUCGGUAGGGUAACCUUUAUGGAGCCAGCCGCCGAAGGUGGGACAGAUAAUUGGGGUGAAGUCGUAACAAGGUAGCCGUAUCGGAAGGUGCGGCUGGAUCACCU